CCCUUAGAUGUUCUGGGCCGCACGCGUGCUACACUGACCGGCGCAACAAGUUUCUUUCCUUGGCUCGAUAGGCCUGGGUAAUCUUUGAACGCCGGUCGUGAUGGGGAUAGAUCCUUGCAGUUUUUGAUCUUCAACGAGGAAUUCCUAGUAAAUGCGAGUCAUCAUCUCGCGUUGAUUACGUCCCUGCCCUUUGUACACACCGCCCGUCGCACCUACCGAUUGAAUGGUCCGGUGAAGCCUCGGGAUUGCGAAUGCUUCGUGCGGACGCGAGAACUUGGCUAAACCUUACCAUUUAGAGGAAGGUGAAGUCGUAACA
rnacentral:rRNA from 1 species